GAACCCGGGUCCCCUGCGGUGGGAGCGCAGAGUCUUAACCAUUGGACCGCCAGCUUCCGGAGUGUGGGCAGGAGCGAUUCCCUGAGUAUUUUUCAACGAUGACUUCUGUGUUUUCCUAAGAGGAGGACUCUGUUUGAGGUGGUGAGCAGAGUCAGAGCUUAAAGCGAUUCUUCCUUGAAGAGCAGGGUACCGCCCACACCUGCUCAACGCUCUGCUUCUCCAUCCAUUUACAUCAGGAGGAAUUGGGUCCUAUGAAGAGAUGAAGCUGCUCAUCCUUCAGACACCGCAUAUAGAAGAAGCAACUAAUAAUAAUAAUAAUGCUUACCUCCUGUUUACAGGACCCUUUUUCAUAUAAUUUACUCCAAGAGACCAGGAUGCUCCAAGACAGAGAAAGAAUAAGAUUAAUUUCUAGGGAAGGAAGUUCUGUAACUGAAUCCAAAUUAUAAUUUGAAAA